CUCUACUCAUUCAUUCACCCUUUCACUGCUUCAGGAAGUAUUUGUUGCGCCCUUGGGUACUCCAGGCAGGGCGCUAACCUAGCCCUAGGAGAGAGAAUGACGAACACGAGAGACGUGGUGUUUGUUCCCCAACCCUAUUUUACUUUUUCGUAGGCGAGGCAUUCAGAUUUAGAGAAGCAGGAAAUGUAUCGACCCAGGUGGGGCACGGAGGAAGGGCGCCGAGAGGCUGGCUGGUCAGGGCAGGCUCCCCGGAGGCAGCGGCGGGGCCGGGGCCGCCACAAGGGAGGGUCUCCGGCAGAGCGGAACCGGGCUGGGAGCGAGCCUUAGGGCGGGGGCGGCCGGCGAGUUAGGGUUAGGGCGAGAGGAUUCGCCUUCCCGGCGGCAGAGGGCGCCUGGCGCUGCGGUCCGGCGCGCCGGAGCCGCCCGCGCGGACGCCGAGAGAAGAGGCGAGGCGGGGAGCUCGAGCGGCGGCCACUGCCACGUCUUCCCGGCAGUGGCGGCGGCGACGCGGGAGGAGGAAUAACCCAAGUCACCUUUCCUGGAAAUCAGUUUGCUGAAACUAUUGAAACAGCAGUUCUUGAAGAAAAGGAGAUUCUGCACCUUGACCGGAGGAGCGUGACCCUUCCUUCAAAUCCCUCUCCGGACGCACCCUCCUAGCAUCCCCUAG